rnacentral:rRNA from 1 species
UACGAAGGGUGCAAGCGUUACUCGGAAUUACUGGGCGUAAAGCGUGCGUAGGUGGUUUGUUAAGUCUGAUGUGAAAGCCCUGGGCUCAACCUGGGAAUGGCAUUGGAAACUGGCUUACUAGAGUGCGGUAGAGGGUAGUGGAAUUCCCGGUGUAGCAGUGAAAUGCGUAGAUAUCGGGAGGAACAUCUGUGGCGAAGGCGACUACCUGGACCAGCACUGACACUGAGGCACGAAAGCGUGGGGAGCAAAC